rnacentral:misc_RNA from 1 species
UCCGGUUUAACACCGGCGGUCUCUCUAGAGUGCCCAACUAAAUGAUGGCAACUAAAGAUAAGGGUUGCGCUCGUUAAGGGACUUAACCCGACAUCUCACGAUACGAGCUGACGACAGCCAUGCAGCACCUGUCUCCUAGCCCCCGAAGGGGAGAUCCUAUCUCUAGGACUGUCUAGGGAUGUCAAACCCAGGUAAGGUUCUUCGCGUUGCGUCGAAUUAAACCACAUGCUCCACUGCUUGUGCGGGCCCCCGUCGAUUCCUUUGAGUUUCAGCCUUGCGGCCGUACUCCCCAGGCGGGGCACUUAAUGCGUUAGCGCCGGCACUCAGAGGGUCGCUCCCCCAAGCACCUAGUGCCCAUCGUUUACGGCGUGGACUAC